GGCGAGUGAGCGGCAAAAGCUCAAAUUUGAAAUCUGGCUCUUUCAGAGUCCGAGUUGUAAUUUGAAGAAGGUAUCUUUGGGUCUGGCUCUUGUCUAUGUUUCUUGGAACAGAACGUCACAGAGGGUGAGAAUCCCGUGCGAUGAGAUGAUCCAGGCCUAUGUAAAGUUCCUUCGAAGAGUCGAGUUGUUUGGGAAUGCAGCUCUAAGUGGGUGGUAAAUUCCAUCUAAAGCUAAAUAUUGGCGAGAGACCGAUAGCGAACAAGUACAGUGAUGGAAAGAUGAAAAGAACUUUGAAAAGAGAGUGAAAAAGUACGUGAAAUUGUUGAAAGGGAAGGGCUUGAGAUCAGACUUGGUAUUUUGUAUGUUACUUCUUCGGGGGUGGCCUCUACAGUUUAUCGGGCCAGCAUCAGUUUGGGCGGUAGGAGAAUUGCGUUGGAAUGUGGCACGGCUUUGGUUGUGUGUUAUAGCCUUCGUCGAUACUGCCAGCCUAGACUGAGGACUGCGGUUUAUACCUAGGAUGUUGGCAUAAUGAUCUUAAGUCGCCCGUCUUGA
rnacentral:rRNA from 1 species